rnacentral:rRNA from 1 species
AGCGAACGCUGGCGGCAUGCCUAACACAUGCAAGUCGCACGGGGGGGCUUCGGCCUCCCAGUGGCGGACGGGUGAGGAACGCGUAGGGACCUGUCGAGGGGUGGGGGAUAACCGCGGGAAACUGCGGCUAAUACCGCAUGACGCCGCGGCGUGACAGCCGGGGCCAAAGGCGAAAGCCGCCCGCCGAGUGGCCUGCGUCCGAUUAGCUGGUUGGCGGGGUAGCGGCCCACCAAGGCGUCGACCGGGAGCUGGUCUGAGAGGGUGAUCGGCCACACCGGGACUGAGACACGGCCCGGACUCCUACGGGAGGCAGCAGUGGGGAAUAUUGGACAAUGGGCGCAAGCCUGAUCCAGCAAUGCCGCGUGGGUGAAGAAGGUCUUCGGAUUGUAAAGCCCUUUCGGCGGGGACGAUGGUGACGGUACCCGCAGAAGAAGCCCCGGCUAACUUCGUG